UACGGAGGGUGCAAGCGUUGUCCGGAAUCAUUGGGCGUAAAGCGCGCGUAGGCGGCCCUGUAAGUCCGUUGUGAAAGUCAAAGGCUCAACCUUUGAAAGCCGAUGGAUACUGCAGGGCUAGAGUCCGGAAGAGGCGAGUGGAAUUCCUGGUGUAGCGGUGGAAUGCGCAGAUAUCAGGAGGAACACCAAUAGCGAAGGCAGCUCGCUGGGACGGUACUGACGCUAAGGCGCGAAAGCGUGGGGAGCAAACAGG
rnacentral:rRNA from 1 species